UGAAGUAGUUGAUGCCAUGCUUCCAGGAAAAUCUUCUAAGCUUCAGGUUAGUAGGAAUCGUACCCCAAACCGACACAGGUGGUCGGGUAGAGAAUACCAAGGCGCUUGAGAGAACUCGGCUGAAGGAACUAGGCAAAAUGGUACCGUAACUUCGGGAGAAGGUACGCUCCUGACGGUGAUGAGACUUGCUCUCUAAGCUGUUGGGAGUCGCAGAUACCAGGUGGCUGCAACUGUUUAUCAAAAACACAGUACUGUGCAAAAUCGCAAGAUGACGUAUACGGUAUGACGCCUGCCCGGUGCUUGAAGGUUAAUUGAUUGGGUUAUCUUCGGAGAAGCUCAUGAUCGAAGCCCAAGUAAACGGCGGCCGUAACUAUAACGGUCCUAAGGUAGCGAAAUUCCUUGUCGGGUAAGUUCCGACCUGCACGAAUGGCGUAAUGAUGGCCACGCUGUCUCCAGCCGAGACUCAGUGAAGUUGAAAUUGCGGUGAAGAUGCCGUAUACCCGCGGCUAGACGGAAAGACCCCGUGAACCUUUACUAUAGCUUGGCACUGAACAUUGAACCUACAUGUGUAGGAUAGGUGGGAGACUUUGAA
rnacentral:ncRNA from 1 species